GAUGAACGCUGGCGGCGUGCCUAAUACAUGCAAGUCAAGCGAACAGAUGAGGAGCUUGCUCCUCUGACGUUAGCGGCGGACGGGUGAGUAACACGUGGAUAACCUACCUAUAAGACUGGGAUAACUUCGGGAAACCGGAGCUAAUACCGGAUAAUAUAUUGAACCGCAUGGUUCAAUAGUGAAAGACGGUUUUGCUGUCACUUAUAGAUGGAUCCGCGCCGCAUUAGCUAGUUGGUAAGGUAACGGCUUACCAAGGCGACGAUGCGUAGCCGACCUGAGAGGGUGAUCGGCCACACUGGAACUGAGACACGGUCCAGACUCCUACGGGAGGCAGCAGUAGGGAAUCUUCCGCAAUGGGCGAAAGCCUGACGGAGCAACGCCGCGUGAGUGAUGAAGGUCUUCGGAUCGUAAAACUCUGUUAUUAGGGAAGAACAAAUGUGUAAGUAACUAUGCACGUCUUGACGGUACCUAAUCAGAAAGCCACGGCUAACUACGUG
rnacentral:rRNA from 1 species